CUCGCAGGCAUAUUCGCCAUGGCUAUGGCUACAUUUUUCCCAUGAAGGCACUUCUCUCACAGUGCGCUAAAUCCCGGACUAAAAAAUUCCGUGUUGCUUGGUUGGAUCCUUUGCAUCGGGGUUAGGUAGGACGGAGCUCACUCGUCUUGGUAUGAUCUAGGGUUCUUGGAUGUAGAGGAGAGGAAGAGAGCGCAGGGUGAGUGAUCGAUCGAUCCAAUCCGAAUGAGGCGCGCCGCCGCUGUGGAUGUCGAUCGCCGGCCCGGCAAGCGCGUGAGAUUAUGGGCGGAGCCGGCCGCCGCCGUGGAGCACAUCGCCACGAAUGUCCCUGUAGAAUGUGGGGGAUUCUACGAUCCAUCGAGGUACUGGCGGCAGCAUCCAGCGAUCUAUGCUCCAGCGCCAGCGAUUUACGCCGCUCCUCACUACUACCAGACGAUUGCGAGCACUUACACGGAGCCCCAGGAUUUUCCGCGGAGGAUUCAUGCUGGUAUGGUCACAGCGGCUGCUCUCCAGGUACCCAACCCCGUGACCGGCCAUCUCAACGUAGUAGUUCCUCCUCAAGCUUGCCACGAAGAUGACAAAGAUGGCCAUUUCGUUUUCGAGCUCGGGGAGAACAUCACACCUCGCUACAAAAUCAUAGGAAAGAUGGGUGAAGGGACCUUUGGGCGAGUCUUGGAGUGCUGGGAUCGCGACACACAGGAGUAUGUGGCUAUCAAGCUCAUAAGAAAUGUGCAAAAGUAUCGUGACGCCGCCAUGAUUGAGAUUGAUGUUCUCAACGAGCUUGCGAGAUAUGACCGGAAUGGUUCAAGACGUUGUGUCCAGUUAAAGCGCUGGUUCGAUUUCCGGAACCACAUUUGCAUGGUUUUCGAGAAGUUGGGACCAAGCCUUUAUGACUUUCUCAGGAAGAAUGAGUAUCGUCCUUACGCAAUCGAUCUUGUUCGGGAGUUUGGUCGGCAGCUGCUCGAGUCCGUAGCAUACAUGCACGAUCUUACUCUUAUCCACACGGAUUUGAAGCCGGAAAACAUUCUGCUCGUGUCUCCAGAUCAUGUCAAAGUCCCCGACUUCAAGGGCCUGUACCAACGAUCAGGACCAGGACGGUGCUACGUGAGAGUUCCAAGGACGAGCGAGAUCAAGCUCAUCGACUUCGGAAGCGCAACAUUUAACAGUCAUUACCACUGCUCGGUAAUAUCGACGAGGCACUACAGAGCACCAGAAGUGAUACUUGGCCUCGGCUGGUCUUACUCCUGUGAUAUAUGGAGCAUAGGCUGUAUACUUGUUGAGCUGUGCUCGGUAUAUGCAGUUACCUUGGGAUUCAAACAACACAAUCAUUCUCCUGCUGUAAUUUCAGGGUAGUACGCUCUUCCAAACGCAUGAGAAUCUGGAACAUCUGGCUAUGAUGGAACGUAUAAUUGGUCCACUCCCUGCUCACAUGAUCGAGAAAGCAGAUCGACGAGCCGAGAAGUAU